GGAAUAUUGCGCAAUGGAGGAAACUCUGACGCAGUGACGCCGCGUGCAGGAUGAAGGUUUUCGGAUUGUAAACUGCUUUAGAUAGGGAAGAAACAAAUGACGGUACCUAUAGAAUAAGCUCCGGCUAACUACGUGCCAGCAGCCGCGGUAAUACGUAGGGAGCAAGCGUUAUCCGGAUUUAUUGGGUGUAAAGGGUGCGUAGACGGACAUGCAAGUUGGCUGUGAAAUCCCGAGGCUCAACCUCGGAACUGCAGCCAAAACUACAUAUCUUGAGUACUGGAGGGGAAAGCGGAAUUCCUAGUGUAGCGGUGAAAUGCGUAGAUAUUAGGAAGAACACCGGUGGCGAAGGCGGCUUUCUGGACAGCAACUGACGUUGAGGCACGAAAGUGUGGGUAGCAAACA
rnacentral:rRNA from 1 species